UCAAGAUUUCUGGAAUGGAUCGUGUCUUAAAUCUACAUGGCCCCUGGAUUGGACUGCGGCCGAUCAGGCUGUUGGUGAGGUAAUGGCCCACCAAACCUAUAACCGGUACGGGCUCUGAGAGGAGAAGCCCGGAGAUGGGCACUGAGACAAGGGCCCAGGCCCUAUGGGGCGCAGCAGGCGCGAAACCUCUGCAAUGGGCGAAAGCCUGACAGGGUUACUCUGAGUGAUUUCCGCUAAGGAGAUCUUUUGGCAGCUCUAAAAAUGGUGCAGAAUAAGGGGUGGGCAAGUCUGGUGUCAGCCGCCGCGGUAAUACCAGCACCCCGAGUGGUCGGGACGAUUAUUGGGCCUAAAGCAUCCGUAGCCGGUCGUGCAAGUCCUCCGUUAAAUCCAGCCGCUCAACGGAUGGGCUGCGGAGGAUACUACAGGACUAGGAGGCGGGAGAGGCAAGCGGUACUUAGUGGGUAGGGGUAAAAUCCUUUGAUCCAUUGAAGA
rnacentral:rRNA from 1 species